AGACUUAGGGUUUAGAGUUGAGGGGUGGGGUAGGGUUUUUGGAAUGUGAAAUUUAUGAUUCUAAUAAAUAUAUAAAUACUUAAAAAAUAUAUAAAAAUUUUGAAAAAAUAGUUUCAAACAUAAUUUUCGUUUUUCAAAAAGAAAUUUGAAAAAAAAAAUUCAAAAAGAUUCAAAAAAAAAAAUUAUAAAAAAGUUCGAAUUUGAAAAGUAUAUUUCGAAAACAUAAAAACAUUUUUUUAUUUUUUUAUUUUUUUUUAAUUUUUUUAUUUUUUUUUUAUUUUUUUAGUUUUUAUUUUUAUUUUUUAUUUUUUUUAUUUUUUUAUAUAUAUUUUUUUACUUUUUAUAUUUUUUAUUUUUGUAUUUUUUUUAUUUAAAUGAUAAUUUAUUAUAUAUAUAAAUAAUAUGAGCAUAAGAGUCUUUUACCACUUAAUGAAGAAGAUAUUUUUGAAAAUGUCUCAUUAAUGGUGGUAAAAAUGAAAAGUGGUACCAUGAAAGUAGUAAAUAUGUAAUUUCCCCAAUUAUUAUGGUUAAC
rnacentral:lncRNA from 1 species